rnacentral:misc_RNA from 1 species
UUGAGCAUGCAGGCCAAGGCUUGGACUGCACAAGUUUUUUUUCUUGACCCAAGGGGGAAAGCUCAUGGUGCCAACGUGUGAGCAUGUUUAUCCUCAGAAUAUCCUCAGAAAUGUGGUCAUUGAGGAUGGUUAUGAUAUGAUUGAGGGUUGGCACUCAAUGUAUCUCUAGAGCCUAUGGCUUAUUUA